AAACCCGAAGACUCAAAAGAUGAACUAAUCAAUUCUCUUUCCGGCUCAGGCUGCAUAGGUUAACAUUACGGGGCUGUCACGUGAUGAACGAACGACUCAAACCCGAAGACUCGAGAGAUGAACUAAUCAAUUCUCUUUCCGGCUCAGGCUGCAUAGGUUAACAUUACGGGGAUGUCACGUGAUGAACGAACGACUCAAACCCGAGGACUCGAGAGAUGAACUAAUCAAUUCUCUUUCCGGCUCAGGCUGCAUAGGUUAACAUUACGGGGAUGUCACGUGAUGAACGAACGACUCAAACCCGAAGACUCAAAA